AACGAACGCUGGCGGCAGGCCUAACACAUGCAAGUCGAGCGAGUCAUGCGGGGCUAGCGGCGGACGGGUGAGUAACGCGUGGGAACGUGCCCUUCUCUACGGAAUAGCCUCGGGAAACUGAGAGCAAUACCGUAUACGCCCUUCGGGGGAAAGAUUUAUCGGAGAAGGAUCGGCCCGCGUUGGAUUAGGUAGUUGGUGGGGUAAUGACCUACCAAGCCGACGAUCCAUAGCUGGUUUGAGAGGAUGAUCAGCCACACUGGGACUGAGACACGGCCCAGACUCCUACGGGAGGCAGCAGUGGGGAAUCUUAGACAAUGGGGGAAACCCUGAUCUAGCCAUGCCGCGUGAGUGACGAAGGCCUUAGGGUCGUAAAGCUCUUUCGCUGGGGAAGAUAAUGACGGUACCCAGUAAAGAAACCCCGGCUAACUCCGUGCCAGCCGCCGCGGUAACAC
rnacentral:rRNA from 1 species